AACAACAAGAACAGGUGCAACCAAGUGAGUAUAGACAAACACAAUAUCAACAAAAACAAUUUCAAGGUGGUCACUCUAAUGGUUUGGAUGAGACCUUUUGUACCAUGAGGGUAAGAUAGAAUAUUGACAACCCGAACCUCACUGAUACAUACAACACUAGAGCAGGAAGGAUCACAUAUCUAAAUGUGCAGAAGUUUCCAAUUCUUAAUCUUCUACAAAUGAGUGCCGUGAAAGUAAAUUUGUACCAGGUAAAAUCACAAGAUAUAUUAUCUUAGCAAAGAAAAGCUUUAAAAAAUAUGCUGACAACUUUUUAUAAUAUUUUUGUUGUAGAACGCGCUCCUUUCACCUUUUUGGAACAUCAAUGCUCAUAGCAUUGUCUAUAUUACUCAAGGUCAUGCCGGGUUCAAGUUGUCAACAACAAUGGAAAGACAGUGUUUGAUGGAGAGGUUCGUCCUGGGCAGCUGCUAAUUAUACCACAACACCAUGUAGUUGUGAAAAAAGCACAAAGAGAAGGAUGCUUAUAUAUUGCAUUCAAAACCAACCCUAAUUCCAUUGUUAGCCAAAUCGUGGGAAAGAAUUCCAUCUUCCGUGCACUUCCUAACAAUGUUUUGGCAAAUGCAUAUCGUAUCUCAAGAGAAGAAGCUAGGAGACUCAAGCACAACAGGAGAGUGGAGUCAGGCGUGUUCACUCCUAGUCAUGCCUACAGUAACUUCCAAGAUAUCAUGACUGCAUCAUUAUAGUAUAGGCUUGGAUUGCUAGGGAUGGUUUCCAAAUAAAUUACAAGAAAUAAAAGACUGCAUGCUUAUUGUAGCUAUGUAAUAUUGGAUGGUUGGAAUAAGAACAAUAAUAAUUUUGUUUCCCGUCUAAAUAGCUAUAUUAAAUAUUAUGAGUACACAAGUUCCAUUUAUCUAAUUAACAAUCGAUACAUAUAUAACCAUGUGCCUUCAAGAAAUAUUAAUUUGUGAUCCAUAAAAAGGAGCAUAAAAAGGAGUGUAAGAGAUAGAGUGACUUGCAUAUAUGUCAUAAUGAACAUGUGAGGAAUAUUUUCCAUCACUUCUAUGAACGCGGUUAAAGUCUUGAGAUGCAAACAACUUUGAAACCUUUCAAAUAUUGAAACGUGUUAGCUUGUUUGUAGAUCAUAUAAAAAAAUAUCACUUAUCUAUUAUAUACAUUAAAAGUUGGCUAGGCACUCAAAUCACUAGUUGGACUUCCAUUAAAAGUUUGGCGAGUCUUUUGAGCACCACAAAAACUGUGGCUUUGACUGCUUGUGGCACAAGAGUUCAGCAUGUCAAAAGCAACAACACGUAUCCAAAAUUUUGGAUUUGAGCAUGCACAAACCAAUCACAUAAGUUGACUCACUAUGCGUAGUUUACAUCAUGUAUUGUAGUACCCAUAUUUUACUCCAAAAAAGAAUGAAGUAAUCCAAAACAAUUUAUGGGUUAUUACCAGUUUAAAAGUCAAUACUACAAAAUAAACUAUGAUGAAUAAAUCCGAAAAUUAACUCUAAAAUCUAAAACUAAGUUUCAAACAUUCAAAUUUUGGUUGCAGCUGAUAAGCCAAUAAACACACGAUCGAUCUUAUUCCUUGGAUUAUUGAUUAUCAUGAGCACGCUUCCCAAGCUCCCCAACGGUGCAUUUUUUGCAAAAGUUUUCUAUCUAUAAGUUUCUUAUAAUACUUUUUUUAGAAACAACUUUUCAACUUGGUAAUAGUUAAUUCAUACUUUAUAUCUUGGAAUAUCAUCAUAAAUUUAGAUAAUCAAUCAUCCAUUUAGCUUAGAAGAAUUGGACUUCUAGACAAAAUACACAUUGAUUUCCUAUAGCAAGGGUAUUAUUAUCUUUGGGUGUUUGGACGACAGAGAAAUAAGUGGUAUAAAACAUGUUCAUUUCUACUUCACUGGAUUUUUGAUGUGGAUUAUUUGUUCCACACCUUUGAGAAUAUGUUUUUUUUAAAAAAAAACUUUCUUCUAAUGCAUUGCUUAGACCACUUAUUCUAAGCCAUUUAUAAGUUUAGAUUAAAAAUAUUUAAUUUAUCCCAGAAUAAAGUAGAUAGCCCGCAACAAUAAUCCAGUCAAUAAUCUCGAACAGGUAGAAACCGCUACGCAUAUUUGAAUUCAAAUUAGUUGCACCUAGUAGUAAGUAAGGCAAUGCCAUUGUAUCGCCUUUUGUUUUAUACCUUUGCUCUAGGUCAUUGGUUAGCAGAGGCUAAAUUACGUGCCAAGGCAACAAGGGACGCACCUUCUGUUCUCUUCUCGGGUGAACACUAGUAGGAUAAAUUGCUUCACAUGAUUCACUUCCAACCUUUGGUGGACAAAGUGGCAAUAAGACACUGGGAAGGAAAAAGUCCUAAACCAAGAAGUAAAUUUCACAUUGCACCAUACAUUUUUAACAAAGUUUCACAAUGGGAAAUGGCCAAAUCAACCUUUUCACUUAACAUUACAUAUCUUUGCACUAGUUGGCACUUUGGACUUGGGAUGAGCACAUCAAAGGAAGUUGUCAGAGAAAAGCUAGUUUAAAUCAUCAUCCAUAGUGCCAUAGUAUUAAGAUAAAUAUCUUUAAAAAAAUAUUUGCAAAUCACAAAACAACUUUUUUUUAGCAAAUCACACUAAAAUAAUGAUGUGAACAUGUUUAAAAGUGGCACAAAAUGAUCUAUACGUAGGGGCAAAUGAACAAAAAUAAAAUAGAAAAUAAAACUAGUUAUUUUUGAAUUUAAAUAAAAAUAUAAAAUAAAACUAGUUAAUUACCACUCACACUGAAAAGAAGAAGAAAGCAUAAAAUGUUUUGCCUUUUAUAAUUAUCCGUAUGCAAAUCAUAUGAAGUUCUCUCACAUAUUCCCUUGUUUCGAUUACCCUUAGACCCUAGUCCAAACUGAAAACUUAUGUAAAGAUGUAUAUUGUUAAGUGAAAAUAUUGAUUUAACCCUAGUUUAUAACAAAAUCUUGAUCAAAACAUAUGGCCCAAUGUAAAAUUUACUUAAGAAAAGGUAAAACUAGUUAAUUACCGCUCACACCGAAAAGAAGGAAGAAAACAUAAAAUGUUUUGCCUUUUAUAAUUAUACGUGUGUAAAUCAUAUGAAGUUCUCUCACAUAUUCGCUUAUUUUGAUCACCCGGAGUCCAAACUGGAGACUUAUGUAAAGAUGUAUUCCCUCCGUCACAACAAAAUUUGGUCAGACUUCUUUCCAGAUUUGUUGUACUAGAUUAUAUCUCAUCCCAUACUUCUUAGGCUCCGUUUAGCUUCUUAGGUUGGUUUUUUUUUUACGGAGGGAGUAUAGUGUUAAGUGAAAAUAUUGAUUUAACCUAGUACAUGUGUUCCAAUGUACUUUAAAAAAAGGUAAAUGAAAGGCGUUUUCAAAAAUCAAAAUGCAGCUCCCUCCGAGCAAAAGCCGUUGGCUUCUGUCAAACGUCAAAUCCGUCAGGCUUACCAGUUUUAGUACUACCACACUCCUACUGCACCUAGCCUGACGAAAUGAAAAGGUUGCAAAGAAAGUUUUGAGUUUUUAGCCGUUGCGCAGCAAAUUUGCAAUCAAGAAGAAGAGAGGGAGCGAAUAGCGAUGGAGCAGAGCGCCGGGCAGAGGAGCUCCGUCGCCACCAAUGCCACCGUCGAUCUGGAGGUACUCGACUGCACCGUCUGCUGUCAUCCCCUCAAGCCUCCAGUCUUGCAGGUACUCAAUCAUCCUUGUCUCUAAUAUUGUAAAAUUGGUUCCUUUUCUGUCUUUCUACCAUGGAUGUAUGAGCAACAUUCACCAUGUAUUGAUCUUGAUUAACCUGUUUUUCGGGUCCUCUUUUUUUUUUUUUUGGUAGUGUGGAGUUGGGCAUGUCAUUUGUUCGUCCUGCCAUGGCAAGCUCCCGGACAAGAACAGGUGCCACGUCUGCGCCAUGGACACCGCGUACAACCGCUGCUUCGCCGUGGAGCAAAUCCUGAGGUCCAUCCUGGUGCCUUGCCGCAACGCCGGCUACGGGUGCGACGCCAAGACGGCCUACCACGACAGCGACAGCCACGAGGACGGGUGCCCGCACGCGCCGUGCUUCUGCCCGGAGCCCGGGUGCGGCUUCGCCGGCGCGACCUCGUCGCUGCCCGCGCACUUCACCGGCGGCCACGGCUGGCCGCCCGCCACCGAGUUCAGGCGCGCCAGGGCGUUCGACCUGCAGGUCCAGGAGGGCAAGCGGGUCCUCCGCGACGUGGACGGCGGCCACCUGUUCCUGGUCGACGUCGCGCCGGCCGGACCCGCCGGCCUCGCCGGCGCCGUGCUCCUCCUGGAUCCCCAUGCCGGCGCGAAGGCGAAGCCCAAGUUCGAGUGCCACGUCGCGUUCCACUGCCGCGCCACGGGGUGGCGGUCGUCGUCGGAGUUCCCGGUGAGGAGCACGGCCCUCGACGGUGGGUCGUUGCCGGCCGACUGCUACGCGUUCGUCGUGCCCAGGGUUGCUCAUCCGCCCGCCACCGCCAGCAUCAUCGUGUCCGUCUACGACGUCUCCAAGAAACGACCACGCAACGGUGACAUUCGGCAACACCUGAAGUCCCGGGUCAACUAAUUAGUUUUUGUAUCUCUAAACCUAGUACUCCUACUCCCUCUAGUACAAUGUACCAACUAAUCAUCACCCUGAUGAUGCUUAAUCUUCCACAAUUGUACGAACUGAUCAUCACCCUAGUGAUAAGGUGAGCGAGUACUGCGCAGAAGUGGAAUUUGUUUUGCUUUUGUCAAGCAGCAGCUUCAACAAAACCAUUGACAUUCUUUUCCUAUUUACGAGGAAUUUCAUCAAGUUCAGCGACCUCUUUCCCUAGUUCACUAACCUACAAUACAUAACAAGAUAUUCCGUAAUGUGCGAAUUUAAAUCGACAACAGAACAUGGCGCACAUCUGCAUAUGAUUUACAACGAGCACUGAAGUUGUUUUUUCAUAUGAUAAAUCCAAAACUUCCCUUCUUGUCUUGACUUCUAAUUGGUUCCUGAGGUGCAAACAACUUGCAUUUCCUCGGAAUUGUUGGUGUUGUUGCCCUCCAAAGUAGAACUGCAAGGCCCAGCUUGUACCGUUUCUGUGUCCAGGAAUGUUUCCACUGGAGAUCCGUUAUGCUGCUCAACUUCAUCUCUUCUAGAUAUUGGAGCAUCAGCUUCGGCAAUGAAAGUUGUAGCCAUUAUUUCACUCAAAUUGAAGCCACCAGACCUAUCAUCUUCCAGAACUGAAACAGGGUAUGAGGUUAAAGCUUCUACAUUCACUUCAUGAUGUUGCCCAGUUUCACAGCUUUCUGAAAAUAUAACAGUAUCUGCUGUUUGAGAAAAAUAGGAAAAUUCUUUAUUAGCAGCCCCUGAGUCAACUUCUCCCUUCCCAGCACCUGGAUUGCUGAUAAAUUCUGCAUGCACUGUCCUCAGUCCUAUUUUUGCAGAAGACCUCUCGUACAUACUACUUUCCGUGCUCAAGAUUGUUGGACGAAUCUCCAUACCAAUAUCAAAAAGAGAUGAACCCUUUGAUUUACUAGUAAUUGUUUCAGCUUCACAAUCUACUGAAGAGGACAGAUUUAUAUUUUCUAGUGAAGACCCCUGGUGUUGUGUAUUUUGGCUGCUCAUGUUUGCUCUAGGGUCAAUUGCUGCUUCAUCACCAGCAUUUAAUCCCACAUCGUCGUCAUCCGAAGCAUCAUCAAGGCACUCUGUCUGAAUUGUUUCCACGUCUGGUUCCUGCGAUGUUCCCUGAAGCUCAACUCCACCUGUAGGUGUUAGAAGAGUAUCCCUUUUCACAACAUUAAACAGAAUACCAUUUUCAAUCUUUUCGGGUUGCAGUAAGUCGCCUUCAGAAACCAUGAUACUUGUUGAACAACCAAAUGGAGAUCUAGGGACAUUACUAUCAUGAGGAUCAUAACCUGAAUUGCCCAAGCUCCUAUCAGGAGUAAUAGGCAUUGCACUGUUGUCAACAGAUUCUCUACCAAUUGCCUGAGAAACCAAGAAAUUAGCAUUUGGUGUUACAACAUCAGUUCUGUCUUCCCUCGAUGAAAUUGUUCUGAACUCUGUGUCAAUCUCAAGAUUCUGAACAAAACUGACGAAUUUGUUGGCUGAGGCUGUCCUCAUAAGAGGGCCACCACUUCUUGUCCAUGAGUUUAAGUCUAUACUCUCAGAUUCACUGUCACUGCCAUCAUGUACAUUUUGUUGGACAUGAUGGUUUUUGUUAGAUGGUCCAGCAAUUCCUCCAUCUGCAUGAUGGUUUGUACGAGGAGAUAUAAGGAAUUCUUCUUCAAGGGAACCAGAUGAAUUUUCUCUUGCUAUGAGAUUCCAUGAUGGAAUCCUUCUAGAUGGGCAGAGUCUGAUUGUAGGACCAUGUCCUUGUGAAGCUGCUGCUCUUUCCGCGCUUCUCUUUAGCCUACGCAUAUGGUUCAACAGGGCAACACAUUCAUCUAGUACCAGCUCAAUAGCACAAUUUGCCCUAAUGGCUGAUAACUUCUCCCAGGUGCAUCGCCUACCCUGAUUUGCAGCCUUCUGAAGCUCAGCGUAAGAUGGAUUCUGUAUGAUCUUGGAAUACUGAUGAUAACAAGAAAGAAUUCAUUUGUAAGUUUACCAGUUAAUGCCAAGGAUAUUUGUGAAAGAAAGGAAUGGGAAAUAUUAAAGACCUGAGCAAGCGUGGCUGGCAUAACAACUGUGACAUCACCUUCCCAAUCUUGAGCAAACAACUUGGCUAUUCCUCCUAAAGGAAAUCCAAGUUCGAGAAUUUGGUUGCACCUAUGCUUAACUUCCAUCUCAGCAAGUUCAGCCAACUACAUACAGAUAGUAUUGAAGAAUCUAUGAGAUCAUACAACAAAGCACUUAAAUACAUGCUUGCCCAUAGAGGCAAAGCAAGGAAAUUCAUAAGCCUAGGGCUCAACUAAUCUGAUUUGUUAAAUUUCAAACUUUUACAUAGUUUUUUCACUUUUUAAAUGGAUUUCGAAGAGAUUAAGGAGACAAGCCUAGAGUUCAAACCCUAAUUUCCCUAGGCUUGUCUCCUCCCCUGCUUGCCCAUAGCAGUUUUAGUAUAUUGAAUUAUUCAUCAGACAUAAAAUUCAACUAAUAUCUGCAGUGAACUAAACCUUGCUGAGCAUAGUUCUACACUAGGCUACUAAGCCACAAACAUGCCUGAAAUACUGAAAGUUAUAUCAUGUAGCAAUCCAAGUGAAAAUAAAAAUCCUUCCCACCAUGAAAUCGAUAUCAAGUUAUAUCACAGACAGCUCAAGUAAAUAAACAAUCAAAAAUAAAGAAUGCAAUAUGGAAUGUUUUUGACACGCACCUUGGCAGCAAAACUGCCUCCAUAAGCCCUGAUAAUUUCCUUGAGUCUCAACAGUGGAGCUAUGUGAGGAUUGGCUUGGCUUACUAUGAAAUGAUUCACAUUGAAUAAUUCCUUCAAUUGCUUCAUUGGCAAAUCACUUUCCAAGCUCCCAUCUCUCCAACGCCGAGUUGUAGCACCAACUCUUUCUUCCAAGCCCAACAGGAAAGGAGCAUGAAAAGGAACUGUUUCUCCAAAUCUGUCUUUUGCCAUCAACUCUUGGGCCUCAAAAAGACCAGGAAAAGCACAGGAAGCAGUUACUGCACUCCAGAUGAGAACAUGAGGUGAUGUCAAAUAGUUCAGGCAUCGAGGUGGCUCAUGCUUCCUUGGAGAACACACAGUGACAACAAGAAUCCGGCCCGUCAUGUCAUAGGCCUCUUGGAAUGUCAAAUUGCUGGUAAGAUUUCUCAAAAGCGUCUGCAAAUGUCUAAUGUCAUGAACAGCUCCAUGAGUCAAAAUCCUUUUAACUACGGGAAAGAUCCCGCCCAUCUGGUCAAAGAACUUCAAGGAAUGCCACUCCUCGAAAAAGCUCUCCAGCUCUGGCCAUGACCUUGUUGCUACUAUGGAGCACAUUAUAGAACCAACGCUAGAUCCUGAAAUUAUCCUUGGCAGAAGCUUAUGUUCUACCAAUGUUUUCACAACACCCACAUGGAAACAACCUAGAGAAGCACCCCCGCUUAGCAGCAAGGCUGUUCUACCGAAGGCAUGUCUUGUCUCAUGCAUAAAUGCAAGUUUCUCUUCGAGAGGCAAGUCGUCUGAAUCAGAAUUACAUACCAUUUUCAGCUGAGUAGAUACUUCCUCAAUGUACUCCUUUAUGAGUUUCGGCACCUGGCAAUAUGACAUAGUGAUAUAUAAGAAUAGACAUUUGAGUAGAUGCUCCAAUGGGGACAUCAAAAGGGGAUCCUAUCAGGCUAUCACUAUGAAUAUGAGUACUUCGUAUAAUUUGUUGCCGUACUGACAUAACACAAACAAAUCAUCCGAACAAAGUGAAAAAAAUUUCCAAGACUAUCUUGGUGUGUGUAAUGGAAGUGGAUCCACUUCGCAGAUUUAGUGUAAUGGAAUUACUUUACUUCAGUUGUAACAAAGGGAAAGUAGAAGCAUUGCUGAAGUUCUGAGAAUUAGCUAUCCUAACUCCUAACAACCAUCUAAUUGCAUCAAAUUUGCGGGCGUAAUACAGGUUAAGAUUAGAGCAGUUACCUGCAGCCUCCCCUUGUGGAGCUCGGAGUUGCACAUGUUGCCGAGAUUCCUGAGCAGGUCGGCGCGCAUGCAGAAGACGAUGUCCCUGAGCGAGCCCUCCUGGCGGCGGUGCCUGAGCUCGCGGAGCUUGUUGCGCACGAGCUCCUCGUCGUAGAGGUCGGCGUCGGUGGCGCGGCGCGGGGUCUCGCGGUCCAGCAUCCGCGCGGCGUGCGCCCACUCCUCGUAGGUGAGCGCGGCGCGCAUCAUGUUCCGCCAGAACUUGCGCCGGUACGCGGACUGCACCCGCGCCCGGACCCCGGCGCGCCCGCCGCCCCGCCCCCGCACCCGCAGCAGGAGCGCGACGGCGCAGACGGCGAGCAGGAUCCCGCGGGUGUUGUCCCGCGGGUGCAGCCAGCCCGCCGCCACGGGGAGCGCGGCCCGCAGCGCCGCGGCGAGGCGGUGGCGCAGCCGCCCCAGGGAGCCGCAGAGCAGCACCCGCAGCGCCAACGCGCGGCCCAGCGCCGUGGACGGGCCGAUCGCGAACACCCCCACCGGCGCCUCGCUGCUGAUCGCGUCCAUGGCCACGGGCGAGCGGACGGGCUCAGGAGGCGAAAGAGCGCGGGGGGGUUUGAUGGCUGCAAGCCGCGGGCGCGAUGGGCAUGGCGUGUGGGAGUCGCCGAGUCGGGGAGCUUGGAGAUUUGGAGGUGGCGCGGCCGCCGAGCGAAGCGAGACGGGGGAUCAAGAGGGGGACGAGUUGGUUUCGUCUCGUCUCGCGGUCGCGGGCUCGCGGCGGCGGAUCGGCGGGUGGGGACAAAAGGGCGUCCGAGUCAGAGCCCAGGAAUGGGAAGCGAGGAGAUAAGGGAGGUUACGCGACGGAACCAACUAAACUGCAUCCGCGGCAAUCACGCCAAGUCGGGAUGGGCGCGCCGGCUGCCUGGAACCGAAGAGAACCGCGCGUCCGGCGCGCGCCGGAUCUAAACCGAUCGAAUGGAUGGUGCGACGAUUGAUGUCAGGGGCGCGACCAGCAGUUUGGGCAUCAGGAAGUAGAUCUUGCCAUGAGUAGAUGGCAGAAGCCGCAGAACACACCAUGGUUCUUUUUCUGAUAAUGAAAUGGGGCGUCCCGGCCUUUUUUUUUAAAGAGUUACAACCAAUUAUUACAAUCUCACACUCAAAAUGAUAAAUUGAUAAGUGUUGUUGUGUUGGUAACACCAACUUACAAUUUUUAAUCAGAAAAGGCUCAUUACGGGACUCUGUGAGAUCAUCCGAUGAUUUAGUUGGAUUUUGGUGUCAGCCUCAUACCAUUUUACAUUAGCCUAGAGAGAUGAGGAAGUGACCCAUUUAACAAUUAACAUCUUGUAUCGUGGUCCUCGAGUCAAACCAGACGCACACGUGGAGACGAUAUGUGAUCUUCUGGGCUGAAAGACAAGUUGAACUAAACAUAAACCUAACUACUCCAGUUAUUAUAGUCCUUGCGAUGAAAGUAUGAAACCUAUGUAGGAGUAUUUAGAUUCGAGGCCAGACUCAGUUUGCUCAUAUCGCAGACAUGGGUUUGUUCGGUGAUCAAAACGCUUUGCAUUGACGAACGAAUAAACUGAGGCAUCACGAAGUAGAUCUUGCAUACAUGACGAACGAAACGUGUAUGCCGCUUUUGGAAGGUUAUAGUUUAGCUUGAUGGCUAGAUAAUUCUUGUUUACAGCUCCAGAAGACCACAAGUAGUUGUCGUGAACGCACGUCCCAUGAGAUUUUGGGCUGAUAGACUCUCAGAGGAUGGUCAUAUGCUGCGUCAUAUGCAUGGUAUAGACAGAAGAACCAUGACCAUGAUUACAGUGUACUAUUGUGAUACAUCUCGAUGAACCUAUUUGGCCAUUUGUAGUGGAGAUAUGUUAUAGACAACUGUUGGAAAUAUAGUCAUUAUUCGGUAUAUUUUAAUCCAAGGAAUUGAAACUAUGAUCAUGGCAUAAGCAGUGUAGGGUGAUCUUAACAUAACCAGUAGCAUACUAUGCGCAUCAUGAAUGUCAGAAACAGGAACAUACCAGUAAUGCGAUAACAUGCUAGAGGCAUCAUGUAGAACAGGAACAAGAACAUAGCGCAUACAGUAUAGCGCUAACAAUGGGAACAGGAGUAGCGCUAACAGCAGUAGAAGGAGAAGAUUAUACCCCGAGAAUGGCCCUCCGCUGGAUGGUGAGGCAGAAUUGCCUCCGUUGUUGUAGUCGUUCACGGCACCUCCUCCUGGCGCACCAGCUCCGGAUCCAGCUCCUGUCGGCGUCGGCGGCGGCGCAGCUCCUGUCGGCGGCGGCGCACCACCUCCGCCAAUAGCGGCGGCAGCAACUCCAGACAUGGCAAUGAGCAGUCGUGCAGGAGGCACUCCCCAAAAACCUGAUCACCCGCCUACCCGGUGCAGAUCUCAGGCGAAGGUGUGGUUUCGGAGGCACUGCUUCUUCCAAUCUCUCGUGCGCGCAAGAGAUCAGAAGCGGGGAAGCGAGAGCAACUCAGGCGCGGAGAAGGAGAAACUAACACCGGGAAAGAAGCGAGGAACUCGGAUCGGACUCGCGGCCUCCUUAUCUAUCAGGAGAAAGAACGUGGACGCGUUGUUGCGGAGGGAAUCGUGGGAACGUGGGUUAGUGGCUGCAAAAGGAUAGCGACGUGACGCACGCACGCACGCCCGCCGCCAGCCAGCCACGCCUCGCCCACGCCCACGGCCCGGCGCGCGCGCGCGCGCGUGUGGCAUUCCGACCCCCACCUCAACUGGUCAACAGGGAGCCUCUAAUAACUCCCUAUUUAGGUUGAGAUAUUUCUCGCUUAAAUCCAGAGGUGGUAUUAUUAUCCUCAACAUUUAUUAUGGGCCUUUGAGAUUUAAUAUUAUAAGUUGGGCCUAGCCCAAUUAUUCUAACAAUCCCCACCAAAUUUCAAGGCUCAUAAGAAAUGUUCUCAAGGCUGUGCCUGUUUGAUAUAUCAGAGUUUUUGUGGAGACUGUUAAGUUGAACUUCCACCUAGGAAAUGAGCUACAUCAGACCACAACUGAACAAUGGACUAUGCCUUGAAUUGUAAGUUUUGUGUGAUCAGGUUUCACUCAGAACCUUGACUGGUACUGGGCUGCCGUUCGCAUCCCCUCUGUUUGGAGCAUAUAAGUCAAACUCCAGGCCUUUCAUGAGUAUCUAGAGAUUGCCCAAACCUCAUAGACUGUGACUAGCAGUCGAACUCAUAUAGGUGUGUUCCUUCUGAGAUGUUCUGCAGGUCAACAUCUCUGCUUGGAAAAGCCACUCGGAUCACAUUAAGACAUAAGCCAUCCUACCAUGCAGGAAAGAAGAGAAGCACAUCAUGAAAAUGAGCCCCUUUCAAGAGUCUCUUCUCUCAGUCACACAAUAAUUUGUUUCACCAUCCAAAUUCACGGGAUCUCCGAUCACAAUGGACAGGUUUCCACUAUUAUGCAACCUUAGGUGGGUAUCAAGCCCAUUUCCCUCGAUGCACUGUCUAUCACAUUACGUGGUAGCCCCUUGGUAAACUGAUCUGCCAGAUUUCUAGCCGUUUGGACAUAGUCCAAUGCUAUCACUCCGGAGUUUUUCUGCUUUCUGACAGAUUUCAGUCUUCUCUUGAUGUGUCUAGAUGACUUCAUGUUGUCCUUUGAACUGUUCACUUUAAUAAUCACUGUUUGAUUAUCGCAGUUCAUUAGGAUAGCUGGCACUGGUUUUUCAACCACUGGCAAAUCCAUCAGGAGUUCACGAAGCCACUCAGCCUCAACUGUCGCAGUAUCUAGUGCUGUAAGUUCUGCUUCCAUUGUUGACCUCGUUAAGAUGGUCUGCUUGCAAGACUUCCAGGAAACAGCGCCACCUCCAAGUGUGAACGCAUAUCCACUUGUGGCUUUUAUCUCAUCAGCAUCAGAUAUCCAGUUUGAGUCACUAUACCCUUCUAGUACUUUUGGAUACCCGGUAUAGUGAAUUCCAUAGCUCAUAGUGCCCUUUAGAUAGCGCAUUACUCUUUCCAGAGCCUGCCAAUGAUCAUCUCCCGGAUUUGAGACAAACCGGCUCAGCUUGCUUACAGCAAAUGAGAUGUCAGGCCUCGUUGCGCUAGCCAAGUACAUCAAUGAACCAAUGAUUUGAGAGUAUCUCAGUUGAUCCCUUGCUAUUCUUCGGUUUUACCUUAAUAGCACGCUGGGAUCAUAAGGAGUAGGAGCUGGCUUACAGUCACUAUAUCCAAAGCGACUCAAAACCUUGUCCACAUAGUGGGAUUGCACAAGUGUAAUCCCACCCUCAUCUCCUCUUUGUAGUUUGAUGUUAAGAAUAACAUCAGCCUCUCCCAAAUCCUUCAUUUCAAAACUCUUGGACAGAUAGUCUUUGACCUCCUCAAUCACAUUAAGGCUGGUCCCAAAGAUCAGUAUGUCAUCGACAUACAAGCAUAAGAUCACCCCUUCUCCCCCACCAUAGCGAUAGUAUACACAUUUGUCAGCUUCGUUCACAACAAAGCCUGCAGAUGUAAGCGUGGUGUCAAACUUCUCAUGCCAUUGCUUAGGUGCUUGCUUGAGGCCAUACAAGGAUUUCAAUAGUUUACACACCAUUCCCUCCUGACCUUCUAGUACAUACCCGUCUGGUUGAUCCAUAUAGAUCUCCUCCUCCAGCUCUCCGUUUAGGAAAGUUGUCUUAACGUCCAUCUGAUGGACGAGAAGACCAUGAGAGGCUGCCAGAGCAAGUAGUACUCGAAUCGUAGUCAAGCGAGCAACUGGUGAAUAUGUGUCGAAGAAAUCCUCGCCUUCCUUUUGGGUAUAACCCUUGGCCACAAGCCUUGCCUUAUACUUUUCGAUUGUACCAUCAGGCCUAAGCUUUUUCUUGAAAACCCAUUUGCAUCCUACGGGCUUACAUCCAUAUGGACGCUCAACGACUUCCCAAGUACCAUUAGACAUAAUCGAGUCCAUUUCACUGCGUACUGCUUCCUUCCAGUAGUCAGCGUCAGGAGAUGAAUAUGCCUCUUCUAUGGUUCUUGGGGUGUCAUCCACGAGGUAUACAAUGUAGUCAUCUCCAAAGGAUUUUGCAACCCUUUGUCUCUUACUCUUGCGAGUAUCUACAAUGUUGUCCUCCUCAGGAUUUUCCUCAGGCGUUUGAUCAUUGUGUUCUAUCGGUGCAAAGUGCUCAUGGGGCAUGACAGUUUCUUUACUAGAAGUGCUAGGUGUAUAUUUCAUAGGAAAUUCAUUCUCAAAGAAAGUAGCAUCUCUGGACUCAAAAAUUGUACCAGCAUGCAUGUCGGGUACUCCAGAGUUUACUAUUAAGAAUCUAUAACCCACACUGUGGAUAGCAUAACCAAGAAACACACAAUCAACAGUUUUUGGUCCAAGUUUCCGCUUUUUGACUAUAGGUACAUUUACCUUGGCCAAACAGCCCCAUGUUCGUAGGUAUGAGAGAUUUAAUUUCUUCCUUUCCCAUUCCUCGAAUGGUGUUACUUCCUUGUGCUUCAUUGGAAUUUUAUUCAGGACAUGACACGCAGUCAGAACUGCCUCACCCCACCAUUCCUUGGAAAGCCCCGCAGUGUCUAACAUGGCAUUCACCAUCUCAGUUAGAGUACGGUUCUUUCUUUCGGCCACCCCAUUUGAUUGGGGUGAAUAGGGAGGCGUCAUCUCAUGAAUAAUUCCAAACUCUUCGCAAAAGGAUGCAAACUCAUUGGAAAAAUACUCCCCACCUCUAUCAGACCUCAACCGUUUGAUUUUCCUUUCAAGUUGGUUUUCUACCUCAGCUUUAUAGAUUUUAAAGUAAUGCAAUGCCUCAUCCUUUGUUUUCAAUAGAUACACAUAGCAAAAUCUAGUGCAAUCAUCUAUCAGUGUCAUGAAAUAUUUCUUUCCCCCUUUAGUCAACACGCCGUUCAUUUCGCACAAAUCGGAAUGAACAAGUUCCAGAGGUGCCAAAUUCCUCGCCUCAGAUGCCUUGUGAGGCUUGCGAGGUUGUUUCGAUUGAACACAAGUAUGGCACUUGGAACCUUUGACCAAAGUGAAUUUUGGAAUUAAACUCAUGUUAGCUAAGCGCAUCAUACAACCGAAAUUCACAUGACAGAGUCGCGAAUGCCACACAUUAGACUCAUCAUUCUCGCUAAUAUGGUUCACAGCGUUAUGAUUAUUACACAUGUCAUUCAAAGAAAAGCGGAACAAGCCUCCGCUGUCAUAACCUUUUCCAACAAAAGUCCCAUAUUUAGAUACGACACAUUUAUUGGACUCAAACACAAGUCUAAAACCUUCUCUACACAAUAGAGAGCCGCUAACUAGAUUCUUCUUUAUUGAAGGGACAUGCUGCACGUUCUUCAGCUGCACGGUCUUUCCCAAAGUAAACUUCAGAUCGACCGUACCAACACCAUGAACAGCCGCAAGCGACCCGUUUCCCAUCAACAAGGAGGAACCUCUCCCGACCUGAUAAGAAGAAAACAGAGAAAUGUCAGCACAUACAUGAAUAUUAGCACCAGUAUCCACCCACCAAUCAGGUGAAUGAAAAACAGAGAGAACUGUAGGUAAUAUUUUACCGUACCCCGAUGUUCCUCCGCCCUCGCUAAUGAUCAUGUUGGCAGACUUCAUGUCUUUGCGCUCAGGACAGUCCUUGGCCCAAUGCCCAGACUUGCCACACACAAAGCAGUCUCCCUUUGCCUUUCCCUUGCCUUUCUUCUUAAAAUUGGUUGCAGCCUUGGGUUUGACAUCAGGCUUGACUUUCUUGUUGUUGUGGGAUGCAUGAGGGUUCUUCUUCUGUACCAUAUUGGCACUAGAACCUCCCUCAACCUUUUUGCCCCGGACGUCCUUUGCCCUCACCUUCUCCUCAACACCCAAAGAGCCAAUGAGAUCAGGAACACUGAACUCUUGUCUCUUGUGCUUUAGAGAAGUGGCAAAGUCCGACCAAGAAGGUGGUAGUUUGGCAAUAAUGCCACCCGCCACAAACUUGUCCGGCAACUCACAGUUGUUGUUCUCAAGUUCCUUAGCCAGCAUCUGAAUCUCAUGAGCUUGUUCUACUACAGAACGGUCAUCGACCAUCUUGUAGUCAUAGAACUGCUCCAUGACAUACAGCUCACUACCGGCGUCAGAAACUCCGAACUUGGCCUCAAGUGCAUCCCACAUGUCCUUCCCAGAAGGCAUGUGCAUGUACACGUCCACUAUGUUGUCAGUGAGUACACUGAUCAAUGCUCCACGGAACAGGCAAUCCGAAGCCUCGAACUUAGCCUCUUCCUCAGGAGAAAGAGGUGGUUCACUUCGUUUACCCCGUGAAACAUAGAAGCACUGCAUCGCUGUCAACCACAAUAGUGCACGUGCUUUCCAUCUCUUAUAGUUUGAACCAUCAAAAGCAUGUGGUUUCAGUGCAGCAGCAAAGCCAACUACCGAAAAUGACCUAUCAGGUUUUUGGAUUGUUGGAAAUAUAGUCAUUAUUCGGCAUAUUUUAAUCCAAGGAAUUGAAACUAUGAUCAUGGCAUAGAUCUUAACAUAACCAGUAGCAUACUAUGCGCAUCAUGAAUGUCAGAAACAGGAACAUACCAGUAAUGCGAUAACAUGCUAGAGGCAUCAUGUAGAACAGGAACAAGAACAUAGCGCACACAGUAUAGCGCUAACAAUGGGAACAGGAGUAGCGCUAACAGCAGUAGAAGGAGAAGAUUAUACCCCGAGAAUGGCCCUCCGCUGGAUGGUGAGGCAGAAUUGCCUCCGUUGUUGUAGUCGUUCACGGCACCUCCUCCUGGCGCACCAGCUCCGGAUCCAGCUCCUGUCGGCGUCGGCGGCGGCGCAGCUCCUGUCGGCGGCGGCGCACCACCUCCGCCAAUAGCGGCGGCAGCAACUCCAGACAUGGCGAUGAGCAGUCGUGCAGGAGGCACUCCCCAAAAACCUGAUCACCCGCCUACCCGGUGCAGAUCUCAGGCGAAGGUGUGGUUUCGGAGGCACUGCUUCUUCCAAUCUCUCGUGCGCGCAAGAGAUCAGAAGCGGGGAAGCGAGAGCAACUCAGGCGCGGAGAAGGAGAAACUAACACCGGGAAAUAAGCGAGGAACUCGGAUCGGACUCGCGGCCUCCUUAUCUAUCAGGAGAAAGAACGUGGACGCGCUGUUGCGGAGGGAAUCGUGGGAACGUGGGUUAGUGGCUGCAAAAGGAUAGCGACGUGACACCCGCCCGCCGCCAGCCACGCCACGCCUCGGCCACGGCCACGGCCCGGCGCGCGCGCGCGCGUGUGGCAUUCCGACCCCCACCUCAACUGGUCAACAGGGAGCCUCUAAUAACUCCCUAUUUAGGUUGAGAUAUUUCUCGCUUAAAUCCAGAGGUGGUAUUAUUAUCCUCAACAUUUAUUAUGGGCCUUUGAGAUUUAAUAUUAUAAGUUGGGCCUAGCCCAAUUAUUCUAACAAUGGCGGCGGUGGUGCGCCGCCGCCGACAGGAGCUGCGCCGCCGCCGACGCCGACAGGAGCUGGAUCCGGAGCUGGUGCGCCAGGAGGAGGUGCCGUGAACGACUACAACAACGGAGGCAAUUCUGCCUCACCAUCCAGCGGAGGGCCAUUCUCGGGGUAUAAUCUUCUCCUUCUACUGCUGUUAGCGCUACUCCUGUUCCCAUUGUUAGCGCUAUACUGUGUGCGCUAUGUUCUUGUUCCUGUUCUACAUGAUGCCUCUAGCAUGUUAUCGCAUUACUGGUAUGUUCCUGUUUCUGACAUUCAUGAUGCGCAUAGUAUGCUACUGGUUAUGUUAAGAUCACCCUACACUGCUUAUGCCAUGAUCAUAGUUUCAAUUUCUUGGAUUAAAAUAUACCGAAUAAUGACUAUAUUUCCAACAACAACAACUAUAAACACAAUAUUGACCUGGUCUGGUCAUGCCAUAUCCUCCUUGUCCAACUCAAACUGCAGUGCUAGUGUUAAUCAACACGAUUCAAAUUAACGAUUUUCAGCCGGUGAAGAAUCUUCUCCAUGACUGCCACGGAAGAAAACCGCCUGUCAAUGAAACACGGCGACACACAUUGUCAGUUAUCAUACUGUCAGCACACCACACAGUUCAAGUCCUGAAAAAUUGCUGCUGCAAACAUACUGAAACAGAGGAUUCAGUACGUACCACACCCUUGGCAGCGAACGUAGUAAUCCUUCUUCAUCACAAGCCCAGAGCCUCCACAGAUUUCACAUUUCUUCUGUGCAAUCUGAAAUACAGGAGAAGACAAUAAUCAAGUGAAGGACAGUAAAACUUGGUAAGGAAUGGUCUGAAACUCUGAAUGUCUGAUCGAUAAGCACUAUCCUCUUCACACUCGUAUUUCAGUGUCAAACUGUCAAUAAGAACUGUUUAAUGAACAUUAGUACUAACAACUAGCUGCUCCAUCCGUUCCCAAAUAUUUGUCACUAUUGCAUAACCCUCACUUUCAUGAUAAGUACUCCCUCCGUCCCAAAAUAUAGCAACUUUUGGUUGGAUGGGAUAAAUCUUAGUACUAACGAAUCUGGACAUGCCUCUAUGUCCCAUCUAACUAAAAGUUGCUAUAUUUUGGAACGGAGGGAGUAGUAUUUUUGCGUUCAGUUUAGAGGGGCAGCAAAGAGGACUGGAGUCUGGAGGGUGCAAUUCUACUCAGCAGAUUUCAUGCAGCUAGCGACUAGCGAGCAAGGAAACAGUAAACCAACACUCACAAUUCUCUUGCCGAACUCGACCCCGGCGACGACGAAGGGAGUCACUCCAGCUGCACAAAACCCGGUCAAUACCAUACCAUGAUCAAGCACAUCACAAUUUGUGGGAAGUGAUGAGGAAGCGAAGCCGAACCGAAGCGUACGACAACAUGGACGCACCUACAGCGCCGACGACGAUCUGCCACGUGAUCUGCGGGGGCGGGACGUCCGCCGCGGCGGACGCCGCCGCGGCGGCAACGGCCGCAGCGGCGGACGGCCCGUCCACUGCGCGAGCGACGGCGCCCCGGCCGGCGGGAGCGGGAGCGGCCCUCCUGCCGACGACGCUGCCGGCAGCCGGGAAGAGGUCGCCGCGCCCGGGGACCGCCAGGCCAGGCAGCGGGCCACUGCCCGGCAGGCAAGGGGGAGCAAAAGCACGAGGCCGCAUCGCCGCCACAAUCUGCACGGGCUCUGCUUCUGGUUGGUCGGGCGAGCGUCCACUUGUAUUCGUUCUGGCAGUGCUAGCCGGGAGCGAGGCUCUAUGGCCUCUACCACACGAUGCUUCUUUCCACGAUAAAUACUCUAUCCACCAUAAAUACUCCGAGUUUCCAACAUCAAAUUUAUCCACAUUGUGAGGCUUGGCGAGGGGUGAGGAUUUUUUAAAAAAAUUCUUUUUGCCAACACUUUGCUUACUCACAAGUCCAUAACUACAUAGGAGUAUUCACAAUUCCAGAUAAAACUAAAAAUUCCCGAGUUGUAGAGUUCACCUUGUUACGCCGCACGAGAUUGCAGCAAUCAACAAAAUAUUAUUACGCCCGGAACUCAUGUGAGCGAAUACCAAACAAAAUUCUUUUAAUGACAUGUUCCUCACUUGAUCGAAUGUGCUUUGAUCAUAAAAUUCCAGCGUAAUUUGGUUAGAUACCUAUCCCUCGGUACGAAUAAGAAAAAAGGGGGGGGGGGAACGUGCAAUAACUAUCAAAGUAAAAGGUAUCUCUGGGACCCAAGUUGACAAAAUUACAAUUCCGAAAUUAAAAGGCUCACUCAGAACUCAGAACAGAGGUGUCGUGCCUGUAAAGUGUUGUAGAUUACUCAGAUUUCCUUCCAAAAGAUCUAUAAUCAUCUCCGCCAUAAGCGGCCCUGAUGCUUUUGCUCCUGCAUGCGCCUACAAAAAUGGCAGAUUAUGUUCGUUAGGUUGUGGUAAAAAUGUGGCUUGCAACACAUUUUUUUCCAUGUCCAGGUUAAUGUGAAACAGAUAGUUUGUUCGUUUACAUCAGAGAAUCCACAACGAAAUGCUCGUUGCCAAACAAGAAAGAAAAAUGUCUUGUAGUUACAAGCAUAACAGCAUUUCCUAUAUUCGAGCAUUCGCACAACUAUAACUCUAUAUUAACAAUAUUGAAGAAUAAUAUCGUGUGAAAAACAUAUAAAAUAUACGGUGAUUUUAAUUAAUAUUUUUAAAAUUUUGAGUAUUAGCAUGAGAAAAAAAAAUAUAAAGGCCAACAUUUUGGGAUAGUACGAUAUGAAUAUAAAUGGAAGGUCAGUUUAAUAAAUAUUUUAAUGUAAAAGCAGAGCAUAAGAAUUUUUUUUAUUCAAUGUAGGGGAUCUAUUUGAUAUUUGCUAACUAAAUAUAACUACAUAAAUCAACAUAAAAAUUAAUUUUCUGUUCUCUUCCUUUUUAAUUUUAUUUGGUUUGCAGGUGAAUCGAGCUGGCUAGCUAAGUAGUACAUUCAUCGUAAAAUAAACCUACUUUUAUACAUAAAUGUUGACAUAACCUAUGUUGAGAUUUAUAUGCAUAAAAUAAAUAAAUAUUUUUUUAUAUUAAUAUGGAUAUAGAUUACGAAUAAUGUAUAAAAAUAGUUUAUUUAGGCACAAAUCCUAUUGUUAGUAGGUGAUGAUGUGACAUGGUUACGUGUUGAGCUUUAGGAGUUAAUGGAUACCAACUUUAUACUAAGAUACUCCAUCCAUUCCAUAAUAUAAGGCACAACCACUUUUUUAGAUGUUCCAUAAUACUACCUCCGUUUUUUAAUAGAUGACGCCGUUGACUUUUUCUCACAUGUUUGACCAUUCGUCUUAUUCAAAAAUUUUAUGCAAAUGUAUAAGAUAUAAAUCACACUUAAAGGACUAUGAGUGAUAAAACAACUCAUAACAAAAUAAAUUAUAAUUACGUAAAUUUUUUGAAUAAGACGAAUGGUCAAACAUGUGAGAAAAAGUCAACGGCGUUAUCUAUUAAAAAAUGGAGGGAGUAUAAGAAAUGCAUGCAUGUAGGCAAUUAAUUAUGACCCCUUCUCCAUUAAAUUAUUACUUUUUUAAAUCCUCCACUCUCAUGUUCUCUAAUUCUAUUGGAUGCAUGCAUUGUAUUUAUUAGGAUAAUCCAAACUACAAGAUGAUAAUAAUUAUUUUCUUGGUUUUUGGGUUAAGGGUGGUUAUGACUUAUAUUUUGGAAUGGAGGGAGUAGGAUACGGCAAAAAUUGAAAAGGGUACGGGUACAUAUAGUUCUUUCUGUACUCUUCCUGCUAUUCUCAUUCUCAAGAGUGUUGGAAGGGUCCAGAGUUUUAACGGUAAUGUUUGCUUUUUGACUGCUCCUGCUCUCUUCGAUCCAACGGUCUUUUUUCAUUUCAAUUGUGCAUCUGAUGAGUCAUACUUGUUUGAUGGCGUGGCUUAUUCUGGUGCAAUCCAUGGAUUUACUUUCACUUGAGAAGAUUAGCAUCAGCUACAACUAUUUGAAGAUUAUGGAAAGCAUCUGCUUACCUCUGGUGCUCCUUUGAACGCUCAAUAAACUCAGCAGGUAUAUCACGGCCUUGAUAGGACGCAAGAACAGCCCUGAUAUCCGAAGGUCUUGCCAUAGCAACAUCUGCCGCACAGAUUGACAAGAAUGAAAAACAGAAAUACCAAGGAUGCAAGUGGGGCAAUCAAGCAUGCUUCAAAAACCACAGGAAUGAAAUAAUAUGAGGGGUUAGUUGGCUAAUGCACUUGCAUUCCUAAGAACCACAAAAAUGGAAAAAAAAAAUAACUGGAUGACAGGAUAAUAAGAGAAAUUGAUUAAAAGUCUUACAUUCAAGAAAGGGAAUAAGAUCAAGCAGUUGAGUGUCAUCAUUUUCAAGCUUCCAAGGUUUGAUCUCAACACAAUUUUCAGGCUGCAGGCAUGAUUCCAGAGCAUGCCCACUGAUAUAAAUGACUUGUGCGGGAUUUCUGUUUAGCUUUGAUAAAUCCUGUAAAUGACAACAUAACAUAAAAGACACAAAAAAAAAGUUAUAUGCUGCAAAAAUACAGCUGCCCAGGUGUUUUAAUUACAAAAGAAUAAUAUUGCCUCGUACUCCCUCCGUUUCACAAUGUAAGUCAUUCUAGCAUUUCCCACAUUCAUUAACAUCAAUAUGAAUGUAGGAAAUGCUAGAAUGACUUACAUUGUGAAACGGAGGAAGUAGAUUAUACUACCUACAUCCCUAAAAGAUAGUCUUCUUGGUUAUGAUACUUUAGUUUUAAGAAAACAAAUCCAAGUUCAAAUUCAAAGUAGGAUUUGUCAAGGAAAAAAGAACACCUAACUGUCAGCAAACUGUUCGGUGAGCAGCUUAUCAGCACUUAGAUAAACAACAUGGUCCAUGGUUGAUUUCUAUGGUGGAAAUAAGCGCAAAACAAAAGCACCAUAAUCAAGAGUAGGCUGCAAGCUGAUCCUAUUCACCGUGCCCAUCAUAAAUGGAAAUAGUUAAACAGCUUAGAAAAUAAAUGCCUGUGUAAUAGCUAACAAUGACCAAUACAUGUCAAGCUCAAGGAAGGAAACCUUAUACUGCAAAUUUCCAAAAGUUUAAAAGCAUUAAAGGCCAUUGAAGAAAUUGUAGAUACAGGGUGAUCCAGACUUUGGACUUACACUGUUAACUUUAAGUAACAGUCAUGAGCAAUAGAACAUGCAAUGAUAUUUACCCCAGCCAAAUAAUGCUACCAGCUACUAGUUCACACCUUAUGUAAAGUAUUUGUUGCAAGAAAAGUCUAAGAUGACAGCAACCUGCUGAGAAGAACAACUGACGAUGUCAUAAGGAGAGGGAGCUUUUCGAUAGGUGCCGUGCAGUUCAAAGAGUUAGUUAGCAGUAGGAUGAAGAUUUUUGCACAUGGCAAUGAGAAGUUAAUUAUGGUGUAGGCAACCCAAAUGAAACACCAAAAUAUGCACAAGACAGUUUGUUGUAUUCUGUAGUACAGAAUAAACUAAAGUAAUGAAAGAAGAUGGUGUUAGAAAAUGAAACAAUAUUAUGAGUAAUGUGUGAGCAUUAUGGGACCACGAAAUAAAAAAAGAACAUUUUUAUGAGCAGUGUGUUCUCAAUGAGCCUUGAAUGUUAUCACCCAGGAUAAGAAACCCUUAAGCAAUGAAACAUGCAAGCGUUUAAUGUGCAAAGUUGGCAUUCUCCACGACAUAAUGCAAAAGAAGAUAUAAUCUAUGACAUAGCAAGUCAUGCAUCAUUUCAUGCCUCUGUCAACCUAUUCAUUUCUAGUCAUCUAGGUAAGUAUCUUAAGCUAAAGUGUUAGAACUUCCCAUACAUAAGUCAUAACUGAUGACAAUUGGGUGUAACACAUGACAAACCAGAGAGUCAAGCAAGAUAAAGCAAAAGGAUGUGUACAUAAAACUACAGAGCUAUAUGUCAUGUUGCGAAAAGAGGAGAGCUUAUAAGACAAGCCAUGACUCAAAAAAAAUUCACAUGCCUACUGUGGCCCAUAUAUCAUGCAACAAUCCAAAAACUCACAGGUCUCGGUGUUGAUCGUGUCAACAUGUGACCACCCUAAAAACUCUUCACUAAAUAUUAAAGUAUUGCUAGAACAGAGCUUCAAGAUAUAAGUCAUGAUCACCAACAACCAUGUUCAAAAAGAAAUAGAAAGCUAUGGCACAGCAACAAAAAGCAAAAGCAUGCAUGGAUAUAAUCUUUAACAUCAUCCAUGUCAUAUUGCAAAAGAAAGAAAGAGAGAACAAUACAAAUGAUGUGUCAAUUACACAUCCAUCAUUAUCCAUCCACCUUCCGUGUACCACACUUCAUAUAUCAUGAGUCACUUCAUGUCUGGACAUUAACAAACUCUAUCUUAACAUUCAAAUGCAUGAGACUUUAUCUCACUAUAAAUGCACAAUGAUUUAGCAUUGUUUCUCACAAAACCAUUCAAGUUCAUUAGUACUACAACAACAUGGCAUCCAUAAAUCGCCCCAUAGUUUUCUUCACAGUUUGCUUGUUCCUCUUGUGCAAUGGCUCUCUAGCCCAGCAGCUAUUAGGCCAGAGCACUAGUCAAUGGCAGAGUUCUCGUCGUGGAAGUCCAAGAGAAUGCAGGUUCGAUAGGUUGCAAGCAUUUGAGCCAAUUCGGAGUGUGAGGUCUCAAGCUGGCACAACUGAGUUCUUCGAUGUCUCUAAUGAGCAAUUUCAAUGUACCGGAGUAUCUGUUGUCCGUCGAGUUAUUGAACCUAGAGGCCUUCUACUACCCCAUUACACUAAUGGUGCAUCUCUAGUAUAUAUCAUCCAAGGUUCGUGCAACAAUUUAAGUGCAUAAUGAAUUAAUGAUCAGCUUCCAUGUUUAUAUUGCUUGUAAUUAACAUGCAUGCCAUACUUUCAGGGAGAGGUAUAACAGGGCCAACUUUCCCAGGCUGUCCUGAGUCCUACCAACAACAGUUCCAACAAUCAGGCCAAGCCCAAUUGACCGAAAGUCAAAGCCAAAGUCAAAAGUUCAAGGAUGAACAUCAAAAGAUCCACCGUUUCAGACAAGGAGAUGUAAUUGCAUUGCCUGCUGGUGUAGCUCAUUGGUGCUACAAUGAUGGUGAAGUGCCAGUUGUUGCCAUAUAUGUCACUGAUCUCAACAACGGUGCUAAUCAACUUGACCCUAGGCAAAGGGUAAUUAAGCAGAACUUUUCCAAAGCUAAACAUUUUUACUACUAUUUUGAUAUUUUUAUUCCACUUAUCUUAGAUGAUGAUUUAGCCUUUUAAUCAACUGUUAGGAUUUCUUGUUAGCUGGAAAUAAGAGAAACCCUCAAGCAUACAGGCGUGAGGUUGAGGAGCGGUCACAGAACAUAUUUAGUGGCUUUAGCACUGAACUACUUAGCGAGGCUCUUGGCGUAAGCAGCCAAGUGGCAAGGCAGCUCCAAUGUCAAAAUGACCAAAGAGGAGAAAUUGUCCGUGUCGAACACGGGCUCAGUUUGCUGCAGCCAUAUGCAUCAUUGCAGGAGCAGGAACAAGGACAAGUGCAAUCAAGAGAGCGUUAUCAAGAAGGACAAUAUCAGCAAAGUCAAUAUGGAAGUGGCUGCUCUAACGGUUUGGAUGAGACCUUUUGCACCCUGAGGGUAAGGCAAAACAUCGAUAAUCCUAACCGUGCUGAUACAUACAAUCCAAGAGCUGGAAGGGUUACAAAUCUCAACACCCAGAAUUUCCCCAUUCUUAGUCUUGUACAGAUGAGUGCAGUCAAAGUAAAUCUAUACCAGGUAAAAUGAACAGCACAUUUUUUUCUUGGUAAAAGCUUUAAUGCACACAAUAUGCUAAUGAUGUGCACCUUUUCUAUUGCAGAAUGCACUCCUUUCACCAUUUUGGAACAUCAACGCUCACAGCGUCGUGUAUAUUACUCAAGGCCGUGCCCGGGUUCAAGUUGUCAACAACAAUGGAAAGACAGUGUUCAACGGCGAGCUUCGCCGCGGACAGCUGCUUAUUAUACCACAACACUAUGCAGUUGUAAAGAAGGCACAAAGAGAAGGAUGUGCUUACAUUGCAUUCAAGACCAAUCCUAACUCUAUGGUAAGCCACAUUGCAGGAAAGAGUUCCAUCUUCCGUGCUCUCCCAAAUGAUGUUCUAGCAAAUGCAUAUCGCAUCUCAAGAGAAGAGGCUCAGAGGCUCAAGCAUAAUAGAGGAGAUGAGUUCGGUGCAUUCACUCCAAUCCAAUACAAGAGCUACCAAGACGUUUAUAAUGCGGCAGAAUCCUCUUAGGUCGGCUUGCGGAUAAAGAAUAACUAAAUAAAUAAAUUGCAAGCAAUUGUUUUGCUGCUAUGUACUGUCCAGUCUUUCGACUAAUGAUGAUAAAGCCUCUCUUUAUCCUUAUGUUUGUUCUUUACUUCUACAGUAAUGUUCGAAAAUAAGCAAUUGUUUUGUUCUGUAAUCCAUAAAAAUAUAACACCCCUUUAAGUAGUUAUUUGAAUGACCCACCAUAAAAUUAAUACGCAUGCCACGGCUAUCAAGGUUCCACUGCACCGAAGCAUUUAGGGAAGCUCACCGCACUGGUCUUCUUACUUCACAGGAGAAGGGCAAAGGCCUUGGCCAAGAUGCAGAUAAGAAAUGACUACUCCAAUUCAAAGAUUUUAUUACAUUCAAUGAACAUUGGAAGGAAAAUUUUAAUAGGAGUACGAAAAAAAACCAGAAUUAUUUACAAUACAAUAUAAACCCAUCAUGUUGGAUUGAUAUGAUUUGUAGACAUUUUUACUGUAUAAGAGGAAACUAUACAAGAUAAAACAUGAUGUGUUCUCUCGGUCAUGAAAGCCAGAUCCCAGAGAGCAAAGUGGACAAAGUGGUAUAUGCUUAAUGCAUGGACAGAAACAACUUUGUCAUAACAUCAAUUUUCACUCCUGCCAGUUAUUUGAAGAACAUAAAACACAUUCUAAUCCAUCUCAUGCAUACAUAUGCGUAGCAUACAGUUAGUUACUCAAUAAUCACAAUACUAUCCAAAAAAACAUAGAACAAGCUAGUGUGCAACUUAGCUUACCAAAAGGGUGCUUAAAGGAUAAAUAUAUGAAACUGUUUCAACCAGUGUAUAAUACAACUAAGAGAACAGAUGAUAAGAGCAUAAGACUACCAUACCCGAUAGUGUUUUCCAUUUUCAUAUUUAGUUGCAACUCUUGAUAACCUGUGCUGAACACAGCCCUUUGGAUCCAGUCUUUCAAUAACAGGAUCAACAUACUGUCCAUGUAAAAAAAGUUCAUCUGGGUUUAUAUAUUUUUCAGAAACAACCAAAUUGUUGAGGAAAUUCUGGUAAACCUACCAUACUCAGCUGAUCAGAGUACACAACAAUUUCAUAGAAUUUUCCAAGAUGUUCCAAAAAGGCAUCCACUCCUGGCCUCUUAAAAGUUCUCCAUCCUCGCUCACGCUAUACAUACAUAAAAGAAAUUAUGGGUCAAGCAGCCUCCCAAGGGUCAUAAACAUUUUAUACUAUAUGAUAUGCAUGCUUGAAAACUUAACUAGAAAACAUAAGGACUUCCACAAUAGUUUGGCAAUUUUGCAGUAGACAUACAGAAAGUGAUUACCCUUCUCUAGAGAGAGAGCACAAAAAGACGGUAUAUAUUGUUUCUUAGGAAGUUUAAAUUUAGAUCAAAGUUGAUAUAGGAGAACAGAGAUACAAUUGAUAGAUGAGUGAACUGAAGAAAAAUGAUCACAAGCUUCCAAUCGAACAAGCAAAUAAGUAAAACCAUUUUAAAUAACCAUCCCUUUUUAGAUCAAUCUGAAUGGGGAUUACGAUACUUAGGGCCUGUUUGGAUCUCUGGUUGUACCAAGAGUCCAAGACUAGAUCUUGUAAAAAAAAGAUUUUAGAGGCUAACAACCUAAAACUUUGUUUGGAUCACAUAACAUAUUUAUUAUGUGUCCCAAACGAAAUUUAAUAAGGCAUUAGGUUCUCAAAUCCGUGUAACAAAACAGUUCUGGUAAAACCAGAGAAUCAGAGAUCCAAAACAAAAUCAGCAUGAGCACUUUCGAGUUAUGCCAUACAGCACAGAUGGUAAAGUUCAAGUGCAAAUUUGUGGAGAGACGGGGAAGCCAGAGCGUUAAGAGUUUGCGUAACUGUUAGGAUUGGGUCAUAUUGUAUACUACAUAAGGACUACAUAUCAAAUACCAAGAUAAGUAACUUCGUAGAAAACAUAAAUGUUCACCUUCCAAUCUGAGUAUACAAGAGUCUCAUUCAGAUCCAGAACUAGGGUGAAGACAUGCUGCUCUUGAGGAAGUAGAUCCGGAAGAAGUUUAUCUGAUGAUGGUUCACUAAAGCCCUUUAAUAAAAAUGAGUAUUAGCAUGAUCUGCACGUCUGUUCACAAUAGCCAACAUGGAUAAUGGAGAACAAAAGAUUUAAUAUUUUUUACUGACCCGAAUUUGAUCUUCUAUUUGGCUCCUGGUAUCCAAAUAGAACUCAAUAGCAGCAACAGGAACUGCAAAACAAAACAUAUGUGUUUAAGAAUUGAGACGCAAAGAAAAGGAACAACAAUAAUUAUGCCAUGCAAACAGGAGGAUAACAAUUUAUAGUACAUGAAAGGGUUAAAUGACGAACCCCUGCUAUCUAGGGCACUCAUACCAUGCUUCUUCCCUGUGGUGUAUGUUUGUCUAGAGCCAUAGAGCGCUCUAGACAAUGCAUCAAUUUACUAGAUAUUUAACAAACAGCUUUGUACCAAAGACACAUGCCCUCCGUAGCAACUAGGUGCAGCGCAUGUAAAUAGUAUAAUGGUUAGAUCACAGUUGCUCUAGCUAACUGAUUGUUACACAAAGUGGGUAUUCCCUAGCUAUUUUACACGAGAUUAUAGUACCCCUAGUUUUUUUUUCCAGUUGUGAAGUUUGGGUUACAUAUUUGGAAUUUAUUGUCAGCUUAACAACAGCACCAUGCAUACAGUAAAGUAGAUCUUUCUGACUACCAUUACUUUAGUGCAUACAAAAUUAUAUUUCAGAGAGUGACAAGGCUUAGUUAUUCACUGUGAAGCAGGGUAAAUUUCCCUAAGGUUGGCUGCAAACAAGUAUUUUACAAAGAAAAAAUAACAUGUAAUGGUAAAUUGCUCCUGAUGUGGAUGAAGAAAGGUAUGCAUGACAUGUUGAAACUCUAUAAUCCCGAGGUAAUAUGGUAAGAUAAUGAAGGAGUCAUGUGGUCAGAACCUUUCAUAGCUGCUGAAUAAGCCAUAGCCUGAAACUUCUGCAGAGAGGAAGCAAAUCGUCUAUUAGACAUGGCUGAAAUCCAAAUUCUUUAACCCAAUUCAGAAAUUUAGCUUUUAUCCAUACUCUCAGAAUGCAGGUCUACAAUAGAACAUAUUGUGUCGUACUAGAAUAACUUUUAGUUUCAGAUGCCCAAAUCUCAACUACCCUAUAGCUGUGUACAAAUAUUCACCCCAUGAAACCAAGUUUUUUUACACAGGAAAUCAGAAUUAUGCGGUCAUAUUUCCAAGGGCAUCACUGCUUACUUAUGCAGUCACGCUACUAACCAGCUAGCGACAAGUUAUCACACACCCAAACAUGACAUAUUGACAUGCUACCAUAUUACCUCGAAACCGGACAGGUCAUCACGGAUGGGCUGCUUCGAGUUCUUCCGGAACUCCCGCGUCCUCUGAUCAAUUUCAUCCAGAGAAUAAGCUACACAAGACAAAAACACGAGCACGAAUCAUACGCACAGCACCAAACCGAACCCCUCCCACUUUAAAAUUGAGAAUGGUAGUAGAAACACUGCAAUGCGAAGUAGCAGGGCCGAGAGGCAUCUAGGAGUUUUAGGGAUCAGAGAUCGCACCAUAGCUGACGUAGCCUGUGGCGCCGAACGCGGCGGCGACAACCGCGAGGACGCCGCCCUUGAGCAGGCCCAGCGGCUUGCGGGCCGGCGGGGGCGGCGCGGACGAGGGAUCGCCCGCGGAGGACGAGUAGUCCGUGGCGGCGGCCGCGUCGGAGGCGGCGACGGCCGCCGCAGCCGCCGCUGGCUCUGACGCGGGGGAGGCGGCGGAGAAGGAGCGGGCGGAGAUCCUGGGGAGGAGCGGGACGAGGAGGCGCGACCUCGCGACGCCGUCCAUGGCGUGGUGGCCCAGCGAGAGGAGGGGGAGAGGACCUCGGUGGGUGGGCUCGGGUUUUGGUUUUGCUUGGAGAAGACGAAUAGAGGGUUUAAGCAGGGAGAGAGGCGGCCGAGCGCGAGAUGGCGAGGAGCCGAGGAAGGGGGAGGGGGGAGACGGCGGAUAGGCGAAAGCGGAAGGAGGUGGAGCCGUGGAGGCCUGGAGGGGAGUCAAGAGUGUUCCGAUGUGGCCCACUUGUCAGAGAGUGGCCACUUUUUAACGAGUGGGCAUAUACGCCUACACGAUACUCUUCUGUUUCAGGUGGGCCACAGCCCAUUAGAAGUGAGCCAUAAACGCUGGCCAUUAUGGGCCGAGACAAAGAUUUGAGGGCUUCUUUGGUUGGCUUGGGUUGGUUGGUUGCCUAAGCCAACCCUACCAAAUUUUGUAUUUCUAAAUGGAAUAAGUCCAUUUUGCCUCUCUCAUGUCUUGCGCUUGUGUGAAUAACAUCCCUCAACCGGAAAACUGGGUAUAACGCCUCCUUCUUCUCUGAAAACCAGAGCAAAUCACCUCCCUCGGCGGUUUCGGAGACGGUUUUGUCCUACAUGGCAGCUGAGUCAACUUGUGGGUCCCACUUGUCAGCAACUUAUCUCCUCUUCCUCUAUUAUCUUUUCCAUCCCCCGUGGCAGCUGCGAGAUGAGUGCCGAAUGGAGGACGCCGUCCGGGGGAUCUAGCGGCGUCAUCUCAUCGGAACUCUACUGCAAGAUUUGCCGAAACGUGAUGGCCGACGCGGUGCUGGCGAGCAAGUGCUGCUUCGACAGCUUCUGCGACUGGUGCAUCCGGGACCACAUCGCCGCCAAGUCCAAGUGCGCGUGCGGGGCGCAGGCGUGCGUCGACGACCUGAUCCCCAACCCAACGCUCCGCACCACCAUCGCCAACGUUCUCGCCACCACCAGCGGCACAGCGAGCGUUUCAAGUGGAACCGAGAAGCCAAGGAGCUCCGCCAGCAGCAACGCGACAGAGGCGGCGCCGCAGAGCCUGGCCGCUUCGCAGGUGAGCCGCAGUAACGUGUCUUCCAAGAAAAGCGCCACGAUCUCAUCAGGUGUCCUCGGACCAAGAAAGGCGUGGGAGACGGUGGCGGGUGACCACUCCACAGAAUAUGGAGCCCUCGCCGUCGACGGCGAUCACCACGGCAGCUAUGGCUUCCCGUUCGGCCCGGCGCCAGGCUACGUCGACCCCUUCUUCGGCGUCGGCGUGCCAUUCGGAGCUGAUCCUUACAUGUACUACGGCGUGCCUUACGGCUGUUGUGGUGCUGCUUACGGCUACUACGGCGACGAGGAUCGCCGUGACACGAAGAGGACGCGCCUACGAUGAUCACACGUCAUCGGCCAAUUGUUGCCUGCUGCCCCAACGCAAGAUUGGAUGGCGACACUACCAGUCGCUGCCGGCGCAGCGAGAAGAGUGCCGAAUGUUGGAUGGAGGACGCCGAAGCGCGGGAAGGUCAUGGUGGCGGCGUUCUGGCUCCGUCCACGUCGGACUAGCGACGCGUGGUCGACGACCCCUGUGCUGCAUCCUACCAUGCCAACUUUGCGUAUCCGUCGGCGUCCAUCUUCGCCAGGAUGCCGGGGAAGGAGAAGAAGAGGCGGCGGCGAGGCCGAAGAGGCGAGGAUAGGGAUGAGGUGGCGGAGGAGGGGCGUGGGAGGGGAGGCAGCGAGCUCCCGCCGCCCCGUCACUCCUGCCGCUCUCGUCGCCCCGCCAUUCCGCCGAGCUUCCGCCGCCCUGUCGUUCCCGCCGCCCCGCCAUUCCGCCACUCCGCCGAGCUCCCGCCGCCCCGCCUCUCCCGCCGCUCCACCGAGCUCCUACCGACCUCCCGCCGCCCCGACUCUCCCGCUGCUCCACCGAGCUCCCACCGCCCCGCUGCUCCGCCAAGCUCCCGCCGCCCCGCCGCUCCACCGAGCACCCGCCGUCCUGCUGCCGCCGAGCUAGCUCUCUCCAUCUCGCUUGCCGUGAGGAUAAAGAGGAAGGGGAAAGGUAACUGACAUGUGGGCCCAAUAUUUUAUUUUUAUUGUUUUACUCACUAACAUGUGGGUCCUAUUUACAUUUGUUUUUAUUUUAGUGCCACGUAAGCGCCACGUCGAUGCCAUAUGGAAGUCAACCCGCCACGUAGGACAAAACCACCUCCGAAACCGCCGAGGGAGGUGAUUUGCUCUGGUUUUCAGAGAAGAAGGAGGCAUUAUACCCGGUUUUCCGGUUGAGGGAUGUUAUUCACGCAAGCGCAAGAGAUGAGGGAGGCAAAAUGGACUUAUUCCUUUCUAAAUUAUGGUACACUUUUGGACUGCUAUUUUUUUUAGGUUGUGUUGUGAGUUGUGACGAAAAUGCUUCUUAUCAGACAUCCGACGCCCGACAAAAAAUCGAACAUUCCGUCGGAGCAAGCAAAACGUAGCACGAAAAUGGAUUAUUUAUGGUGGAGAUAAUGGCAGCAUGCAACAAAGCAUGGAAGGAUGUGAUGUGAUGAGCUGCAGCAUGCAAUGGAUAUGAUGUAACCAACUAUUAGCUUUUUAUCUCUCCCACCUCCUUGUUUAAAAUGAUUUUUCUUCUAAACAAUUUAUCUAAUCUAUAAUUUUAUUAUACAAUUAUGUUUCUUAUGAUUAAAUCUUUACAAUGACAUCUCGUUUGACUAUAUUCUAAUAAAAAGUAUGUAUAUGUUUCAAUUGUUUAUAUUUGAUGUUUCAUGCAUAUGAGCAAAAUGUUUCAACAAGCAUUUUACUGUGUUGCACGUAUCGACACUAUUUGGCCGAGAGAAUUGAACGAUCUAGAUAUUUACGUAUACAUGUUCCUACACAUGUAGAAGAACAAAUAAAUAAGGAAAAUAAUAUUGUUAAAUCCUAACUAAAAUAUUUUUACAUUAUACAUGACAUCGACUUAUAAUUGUUGAAACAUUACAAAACAUUUGUUGAAAUAUCCCAAGAAUACCAUGUGCAACAUUUCAAAUGAAUAAGUGAAACAUAAGAAAAUAGUUAUUAAACCAUCCAAACAACACCAUGUGCAACAUUAAAAUUAAAUAAAUAUCGCAACAAAGAAAACUUAAAAUCUGCAACAAACUCGAAUUUCAUGUGAAACAUUUGCUUCCCUCGCAUGAAACAUCAAAUUUCACUAGUUGGAACAUAUAUAUAUAUAUAUAUAUAUAUAUAUAUAUAUAUAUAUAUAUAUAUAUAUAUAUAUAUAUAUAUAUAUAUAUAUAUAUAUAUAUAUAUAUAUAAUCAAAAUAUAUUCAUGUGACAUCUUAUUGUAAAGAUUUAAUUGCUAUAAGUAUAACGACGUAAUCAGAUGGUAGAUCAGAUAAAGAAUUUAAGAGGAAAAAUUGUUUAUAGGUUGUUGAUAAAGUGGUCAUAGAGGAGAGAGAGUGGUGAAGAGAGUAAUCAUGUAGGAAUAAGCACCGAUGAAAUCGAUAGGGCAGAUUCGUUCGGUGCAUGCAACAAUGGUAGGUACUGGGGUAUGUCCGAUUUUUUUUAAUUCUCCAUACAUCCGACGCGUAGUCUUCCCUAAGUUGUGACCCAACGUCAUGAACAUAAUGGGGAUAGAUGAGGAAGUGUUUCCCUCGCCUAUCCUUGUAACGAGAUGAGCUUGAUAUGAGUCAAAUGACACUCAUGAUCGCUAUUUCAGUAAAGUAUAAAUCGUGUUGCUAUAUAAUUAGAUCGGCUUAUAUAGCCAUGGUAGUUACAUGCGAAGUUACAUGGAUAAUCCAAAGGACUAGAAACCCUAGGGAACUUGUAAGAGAAUAUUCUUGCUGGGUAACGUAGCCGCCAAGCUUCUUCUCCAUCCUCCACGCACCGCUUGCCUUUCUAUAACAAGCUUGAAUACUAUUUGCCCAAUUAACAUGUUUCCGUCCAUAGCAACUUGAACUCUUUUUUUGUCACCUGCUUUGAAACUCAGGAAUAUGCCCAUCAAGGCCUGAAGUCGUGUCUUGGUCGAAUAGGAGGUAUGACACCUAGUCCUCACUGCUACAACAAGUAGUACGUGUUUCGGUAAAUCUGGUUCAGAACAUUUAAUAAUUGCAGUACUAUAUUUAGUGGUGGACAUUUUCAAAAUUAUCAUUUUUUGUAAGAUAUCACUGUGUAAAAUACAUUUGGUGGUCUUGGAAAUUUAGGUAGCAUUUGGCUAGCUGUGAAGCACCAUAAGUAACACCAAAAUUUAGUAGGAUAACAUUGUCAAAAAUAUGUUUGCUAUGUUAUUGAUAGUUUUCUAACUAGGAACCAUCGAUGAUGUGUUAGUGAUGUCAUAGGUGCAUAAUCUUGUAUUCUAAGGUUUUAAAUCCUAAUGUCCAUAGAUAUUGCGCAAAAGUUGUAGCAGUUACGCCACUAGCCUCUUCU
rnacentral:lncRNA from 1 species